rnacentral:lncRNA from 1 species
AUUGAAACUUACCAGAUAAAAACAAUCUCCACAAAUCCUUGUUGUGUAAUUAUGAGAGAGAGCAAGAAGGUCCUUAAAAUUGGAAGCAGAGACAGCUCCCAAAGAACAAUAAAACGAAAAUGUGAAAUUGAAAGUUGACAACCCAGAACAAAAACACUAUCCAAUGCAAUAAUGAAUGUGCAGUAGCUAUAAAAAGCUUCGACUAAGCUUCCUUGAAAGGAAGAGAGAGACGG